GACGAACGCUGGCGGCGUGCUUAACACAUGCAAGUCGAACGGAAAGGCCCCUUUGGGGGUACUCGAGUGGCGAACGGGUGAGUAACACGUGAGUAACCUGCCCUUGACUUCGGGAUAACUUCCUGAAACUGGGGCUAAUACCGGAUAGGAAUCCUUGCUGCAUGGUGGGGGUUGGAAAGCUUCGGCGGUUUUGGAUGGACUCGCGGCUUAUCAGGUUGUUGGUUGGGUAGUGGCUUACCAAGGCUUUGACGGGUAGCCGGCCUGGGAGGGCGACCGGCCACAUUGGGACUGGGAUACGGCCCAGACUCCUACGGGGGGCAGCAGGGGGGAAAAUUGCACAAUGGGCGGGAGCCUGAUGCAGCAACGCCGCGGGCGGGAUGACGGGCUUCGGGUUGUAAAACGCCUUCAGCAGGGGAGAAGCUUGUGGUGACGGUACCUGCAGAAGAAGCACCGGCUAACUACGUG
rnacentral:rRNA from 1 species